rnacentral:rRNA from 1 species
CUGGUGUUCAGAAAAGAGUUUUAGCUCUACCUUAAGUUUUUUUAUUACACCCAUAAAUCCCCCAAACUUAAGAGCUAUUCAAAUAAGGCACAGCUUAUUUGAAACAGGACACAACCUCAAACACUGGGUAAAUUUAAGUGAUCUAAAUAAAGUGGGCCUAAAAGCAGCCAUCUUUUAAAAAGCGUCAUAGCUUAACUUCCAUCACAUACUAAUUUAUUAAACCCCUCUUAACCCUUCACCAAUACUGAACUGUUUUAUAUUUUUAUAAAAAUAAUUAUGCUAGAACUAGUAACAAGAAAUUUGCCUUUCUCCAAAUUGCAAGUAUAAAUCAAAACGACACCCCAAUGAUAAUUAACGUAAAUAUAUAAAAUAUAGUAACAAAUAUCUAGAAAAUUCUAUAGCCCUAGACGUUAACCUUACACCAGAGCAUUACAGGAAAGAUUAAAAGAGAAAGAAGGACUCGGCAAACUUCAGCCCCGCCUG